UAAAGCGUUCUGGCUUUAUUAAGAGGGAUUAAGAGGGAUCCUCUUCAGUGGAAAACUCUAUGAAAAUACCUGUCUUCAGAUGCGCAGUAUUGGACAACUGCUGUGUGCUGGAGAUCAUGAACAGCAGCGGCAGCGCAUCCCACUUGUGCUGCCGCGCGGAUUUGCCCCGGCCUCGCAAAGCCCUGCUCUGCUCGGCAAUUACACAGCUGUUUGCGAUGCAGCAGUUGCCCGGGUGUGAUGCAGAAGGCAGCAGUGACCUCACUCUGUGAAAAGCUAGAGCGAGAGGUGGGCACGACUGGAUACCGAAAAUAGUAGAAGAUAGAACAUGGUUUUGGCAUAGCAUUUCUGAUGGGAAUGGCUUGGAGGCUAGAAUGCGACUUACAGGAUGUGUCAAGCACGAGCAGCAGACGGAGCGAUGGCCAGGCCUGACCGGAGACGCGGGCCGAGUUCUGCUCACCGCUGUUCGAGUGAAACC